rnacentral:lncRNA from 1 species
CUGUUCCACGAGGACAACUCUUCAAACAAAGCCUGCAGGCGGGGGAGAUGGCAAUGAAAAUUAUUGAUCGCCUUGUGAGACAAAAUCGUGCCUUCAGGCAGCAGGCGGCAUGGUCCUCAAAGCGGAGUGAGAAGUGUGAGGCUGCAGUCCAGCAGUUGAAAACUGAAAAUGGGAAAUUGAAGGAGGAGUUGAUGGCAGCUCGAUGUGAGGUCACUGAUGUAGAAAUGCUACAGGUGGCAAUGGAGGUAGAGAAGGGAGGAGAAGGUGUGGUGGCAGGAGGAGGAGAAGAUGUGGCAGGAGUCUGAGGAGUUUGUGUUUGUUUUGUUAUUUGUCUUUGUUUAAUAAAUGUUGUUUACAUACGUGUUUGUUUCCUUUUGUAUACAACUUCUAUGGGGAUUAGGGUGUUAGGAAUUGUAAUAAGUGUUCACACACAAAACAAUGGUAAUAUUACCAUAUGGGGUAAAGAAAAAAAUAGUAUUCCAGAGGUGUUAGUUAGUGUUAGCCAUUAGUUAUUUGUGUGUUUCUGAAAUAAGGAAAUUAAUUUUUCUGAUGUUGUAAUGUUGCAUAUGAGAG